AUGUGUGUUUUUUUGGUGUGUGUGUGUGUGUGUGUCUGUGAAAAGACUGAACAUGGUAAAUUUGGAAUCGAUCCCAGAGAGUAGAAUCCUUGGCUGUAUUCUCCAUAUUUGGGCCACUUACAGCUAUGAGUUCAUUAAGAAAAAUAAAAUGCUUUUUUAUUGUAACACUGCUUGGCCAGAAUAUGUCUUAGAAUUUUGGGACAAAUGGCUGACAAACUGUUCUUUAAGUUAUGCUACUAUAAUGCAACUGGAACUAUUCUGUAAGACAAGAGAAAAUAGGAUGCAAUCCUGUAUGUCCAGGCUUCCAUGCUCUUAGAUCAGAAUGAACCUACUCAAAAGAGGUGUAAUUUGAUGCUGCAAAAGAAAAAACCCAUACCUAAGGUUUUACACUCCCCCUCAUUAGAUGGGGAAGACAGGACACUGCUUGGUGCUUUGAAUCCCCUGAAUAAUCAUCCUGAUCCUCUGCCCGUUCCCCAGUCAGCUGUACCUCCAGCACCACCCCCUCCUUAUGGGAUUGUCUGGGGCAGACUCCCAAACCUGUCCUCCCCAUGGAAUUAGGAUAGGCUGUGGUCUCCCCUUCCUGCAAUGAACAGAAAACCCAAUUUGGCCAGGGAGCCACUGGCCCCUUGGUGUAGGGCAGUUUCCUCUGCGUUAGUUCCGUACUAGGGGACUGAACGUGAAUGGACAACAGGUUGGCAUGAUGUGGGUACAUAUCCUUUUCCCACUUUGGAUCUCUUCAGCUGGAAAAACAGUAAUCCCCCCUAUCCCAAUGCAAGAGAAUGGCUGGGCUCUUCUUGUCUAUAUUUCUGACCUAUCAACCCACAAGGCAGAUAUUCACUUUGUUAAAGUGCUGCUCACAUCAGAAGAAAGGCGUGUGGUUACAGAAAAGGCGAGGGAAGAGGCAAACCGGCUCUGUCUGGAGACGGGAAACAAUCGCCCCUUGCCAAGGGUCAGUUCCCAACACAGAGGCCAAUUGGGAUGUAAAUGAUGGGGUCCUUCCUGCUUAGGACACUAUCAGAAUUGCAUCCUUGAAGGUUUAAAGAAAGGGGUUCCUCAGGUAAAGAACCUCAAUAAGGUACAGGAAGUACAGCAGCAGGCAUAUGAGGACCCUUCAUAAUUCAUAGAAAGAUGCCAUCAGACAUACUGAAAAGUAGAUUGACACUAACCCUGAGGCACCCGACAAUCGGAGAAUGGUCAAUGUGACCUUAAUCAGCCAGAAGCCCUGAUAUUCAAAGAAAACUGCAAAUGGCAAGUGGGAUCCUUGGGUUGCCAAUCUCAUAUUUAGUGGAGUUAGCUUUUAAAGUAUACUAUGCUCAGGAUGAGGCUCAGGAAAAGUGCAAACUGAAGCAACAAGUAACUCGCUGGCAGCUGCACCUGACUACCAACCUAAAGGAAAAGGAAGAAAUCAAAGUAAAGAGAGGUCCAUGCCCCCUUAUGAAAAAAAAAUGUGCCUGUUGUAAGAAGGAGGGACAUGGGAAAAAGGAUUGUCCCAAAUUGACCAAAGCAGCUGGCAACUGCAGUCUCCCUCAAAAUCAGAUGGGGAGAGAAAAGAAUAGACGAAGACUAUGUAUCCCAGGGAGUCCGUUAGACUUGGAGCAACCGGUGGCUAUAUCCCCACAGGAGCCCUGGAUACAACUGACAGUGGGGAACAGAAUGAUGGACUUUUUAGUUGACACAGUGCCACAUAUUAAGUAAUUAACAAUUGUCUCUCUCCAACUUUGGGAAAAAUCAUUACUGUUAACAGGAAUACUGGGAGACACCAUUACCCCUUUCUACAAUCCUUAGGUUACCAUUUAGGAGAGACCAGCCUUAGAGCAUAAUUUCUUGUACAUGCUUAAUGCCCAGUGCCCCUCCUGGGCUGGGAUUUGCUUGCCAAAUUGUGUGCUCAACUUGUCUUUCCCUCCAGAUGCCUAGAUAUAAUUAUUCCUUCUGAAUAAGUUUGCAGGUUUCAAAUAUUCCUGCUCCAACCAGAAAACGAAGAGGUUCAGGACAUUCCAGAAGAAAUUCUCAUGCAGACAUACCACUUCAUGCCUUCCAGGUACAGACCAAGUCUUAAUUAAAACCUGGAGGGAGACUGGACUGGAUCACCAACUAGUCCCUCAAAGGGUAUAGCAGCACAAGAGACAACUUAGAAAAAGCGAAGAUAGGCCAGGCACAGUGGCUCAUGCCUGUAAUCCCAACACUCUGAGAGGCUGAGAGCUGGAAUACCCUACCUUCUCCUACUCUUGGACAUCAGAAGUCCAGGCUUCCUGGCCUUUGGACUUGAGGACUUGCACCACCAGUGUUCUCCAACCCUUACCAGAUUUCCAGGCCUUCAGCCUUGGAUUGAGAGUUACUCCACCAGCUUCCCUGGUUCUCCAGCUUGCAGACAGCCUACUAUGAAACUUCUCGGCCUUCCUAAGCACAUAAGCUAAUUCCCCUAAUAAAAAAGCCCUGCCACCCACCCAUUCAUUCAUUCAUCCAUCCAUCCAUCCAUCCAUCCAUCCAUCCAUCCAUCCAUCCAUCCUACUGGUUCUACCAUUCUGGAGAACUCAUACUAAAUUACCACUUUAAUCAUACUGAUGCUUCCCCCAUUUUCUAAGUGAAAAUACUUUUGUCUUUAUCAGUUCAGAUACUUCGCAAUUUUUCUAUUUGGAUUUUAAUAUUUUUCUUUUAAUUUGUAUUAACUCUAACAACCUUCCUUAUUCUAAAAACUAUACCACAUUAAUGUAGCCUACGAACAUAAGACCCUUUUUGAUAGCCACAUAAAACUCUUGGCUUAAGUUCAGUAUCAAUGAAAAUUUCUAAGGCCCUUUCCCAUUUGCCUCUGAAAAGUCACAUAUUCCUGUCCUAUAACUGAUUUUUCCAGUGCUAAAUGCAAAAUAAAGAGCAGAAUAAUAUCUCCUGGUUCAAACUGAUCAGCAAGAAUUCCUCAUCAGUAUCAUUAUAUGUUUUCAUUAAUUACAGUAUUAAUUUCUACCUCAUUAGAAAAAGGAAAGCAGAGAAAGGUACCUGACCGAUUGUUGCAAAUUUGGGGUCUGGGUGUGGAAAUGCCGAGGAGUUGAGUGAACCUGGAUCCCAUGUAGAUUACACCUAGGUCUUUGUUUAACAGGCUUAUUCAUGGUGUGGGCUGGUUGCAUGAAAUGUGCUGAGUCUUCAAAACCACUUGACCUGGGUACACUGGAAUUCCAAUUCCUUAAAGAGAGUAUUUCCACACAAUAUUACUGGUUUCCAAAUUUAGUAGUCAAUUUAGUGACUAUACUUUGGCCUAUGAAAAUAACAAUUUCUUCCUUCUCCCAUUCCCAUUUGUUUACAUCUUCCCAAACAAAUAAGCUACCAGAAGAAUAGAUAUAUGAAACUUAAAUUAUAUAAAAAGAGAUCUCCCUGCCAUACAAAUCUCACAUAUAAAACACAAGAAUUAUGGGCGCUGUAGCUCACGCCUGACAUCUUAACACGUUGGGAGACCUAGGCAAGCAGAUCACAAGGUCAGGAGU